AGAAUAGCAGGAUUAAUAGCAGGUACAUCUUUAAAAA
rnacentral:sRNA from 1 species